AUGCAAAUCACUUUAAGAUCUUGUUAAAAUGCAGAUUCUGGUUAAGUAGGAAUGAAUUCUGCAUUUCAAACAAGCUCCCAGGUGAUUCCAAC
rnacentral:pre_miRNA from 1 species